UACGAAGGUCCCGAGCGUUAUCCGGAUUUAUUGGGUUUAAAGGGUGCGUAGGCGGGUUAUUAAGUCAGUGAUGAAAGCCUACAGCUUAACUGUAGAAUUGCCAUUGAUACUGAUGAUCUUGAGUAUGAUUGAGGUGGGCGGAAUGUGUCAUGUAGCGGUGAAAUGCUUAGAUAUGACACAGAACACCGAUUGCGAAGGCAGCUCACUAAGUCAUAACUGACGCUGAUGCACGAAAGCGUGGGGAGCAAACAGG
rnacentral:rRNA from 1 species